CGAGUAGGCGGCCUCGUCAGUCGGGCGUGAAAUCCCGCGGCUCAACCGCGGAACUGCGUCCGAAACUGCUUGGCUUGAGUCCCGGAGAGGGUAGCGGAAUUCCCAGUGUAGCGGUGAAAUGCGUAGACAUUGGGAGGAACACCAGUGGCGAGGGCGGCUACCUGGACGGGUACUGACGCUGAUGCGCGAAAGCAUGGGGAGCAAACA
rnacentral:rRNA from 1 species